rnacentral:rRNA from 1 species
UACGAAGGGUGCAAACGUUGCUCGGAAUCAUUGGGCGUAAAGCGCACGUAGGCGGCCUCAAAAGUCGGAUGUGAAAUCCCGUGGCUCAACCAUGGACGUGCAUUCGAAACUGCGAGGCUUGAGUAUGGAAGAGGGUCGCGGAAUUCCCGGUGUAGAGGUGAAAUUCGUAGAUAUCGGGAGGAACACCAGUGGCGAAGGCGGCGACCUGGGCCAAUACUGACGCUGAGGCGCGAAAGCGUGGGGAGCAAACAGG